GACGAAGGAUGCAAGCGUUAUCCGGAUUCAUUGGGUUUAAAGGGAGCGUAGGUGGCCUUAUAAGUCAGUGGUGAAAUCUCGCAGCUUAACUGUGAAAUUGCCAUUGAUACUGUAGGGCUUGAGUACGGAUGCCGUUGGCGGAAUAUGACAUGUAGUGGUGAAAUACAUAGAGAUGUCAUAGAACACCGAUUGCGAAGGCAGCUGACGAAACUGUAACUGACACUGAGGCUCGAAAGUGCGGGGAUCAAACAGG
rnacentral:rRNA from 1 species